CCUACGGGUGGCUGCAGUGGGGAAUAUUGCGCAAUGGGCGAAAGCCUGACGCAGCAACGCCGCGUGAGGGAUGACGGCCUUCGGGUUGUAAACCUCUUUCAGCAGGGAAGAAGCGAAAGUGACGGUACCUGCAGAAGAAGCACCGGCUAACUACGUGCCAGCAGCCGCGGUAAUACGUAGGGUGCAAGCGUUGUCCGGAUUUAUUGGGCGUAAAGAGCUCGUAGGCGGUUAGUCACGUCGGAUGUGAAAACCCGGGGACUAACCCCGGGCCGGCCUUCGAUACGGGCUGACUAGGGGGUUGUAGGGGAGACUGGAACUCCUGGUGUAGCGGUGAAAUGCGCAGAUAUCAGGAAGAACACCGGUGGCGAAGGCGGGUCUCUGGGCAACUACUGACGCUGAGGAGCGAAAGCGUGGGGAGCAAACAGGAUUAGAUACCCUAGUAGUC
rnacentral:rRNA from 1 species